GCUGCUCAUAAAUCUGGUAUAAACCCAAGGUGCAUGCCGAGGGGCGGUUGGCCUCGUAAAAAGCCGCAAAAAAUAGUCGCAAACGACGAAAACUACGCUUUAGCAGCUUAAUAACCUGCUUAGAGCCCUCUCUCCCUAGCCUCCGCUCUUAGGACGGGGAUCAAGAGAGGUCAAACCCAAAAGAGAUCGCGUGGAAGCCCUGCCUGGGGUUGAAGCGUUAAAACUUAAUCAGGCUAGUUUGUUAGUGGCGUGUCCGUCCGCAGCUGGCAAGCGAAUGUAAAGACUGACUAAGCAUGUAGUACCGAGGAUGUAGGAAUUUCGGACGCGGGUUCAACUCCCGCCAGCUCCACCA
rnacentral:tmRNA from 1 species